rnacentral:rRNA from 1 species
UACGGAGGGGGCAAGCGUUGUUCGGAAUUACUGGGCGUAAAGGGCGCGCAGGCGGCCGAUCAAAUCAGAUGUGAAAGCCCCGGGCUCAACCUGGGAAUAGCAUUUGGGACUGGUCGGCUAGAGUUCGGGAGAGGAGAGUGGAAUUCCCAGUGUAGAGGUGAAAUGCUUAGAUAUCGUCAAGAACACCGAUAGUGAAGACAGCUCACUAAGCUCAAAACUGAC